CCCCCCCAUCAAUGACGAUGACGAUGUGAGUAUUUUGAACACUGGUACAUGUUUUUGUUAUUCUGUGUACAUGUGUUUUGACUGCGCUAGUGUUAUUGAUGUAAUCUCAGCGAGAUUGCUUUCUGAGUGAAUAACCUAGAUUAACUCUAGAUAUUGGGAUCCCAAGUAACCAUGGUAUCUGGUUAGAUCUGAUGCUGAGGCAAUUUAAGAUGCAGUAAUGUGACUAUGGCUACAGUAUAAUCACACUGACUGCACAAUAUGGCAAGGUUAAGUGUUAUACCACGCUUGGCAUUUUGGGAUGUGUCCUAAUCACGUAAAACCCUGGAUGGGUUGGGCAUGCCGGAUGAUGUAAAAAAAUCUUCCCAGCGUGAAAUAGUUCUGAUUGUGACGUCAUGUUGUAAAACAUUUCACAACCUCAAAAUGUUCCCGGUCAAUAAUUGCACGUGCGUCUGUGUGGGUGGCUGAGCUCGUGCAGAUGUUUCUCACGACUCGUGUUGACGCACGAGUCCGGGACCUCACGCCUCAACAAGCUUCUGAUUGGUCAGAGUCAAUAAUCCUGGUCACCGUUGAUUGGCAGAUGUGUGAAGCAAAUGCGCGUGGUCACAGAAGUUUUUUUUUAGGGAGGGUGUGAGAGAACAUCCGCACGAGCUCAGCCACAUAAAGAGAUUUUUUUUUUAGGUCUAGGGAGGGUGUGAGAGAACAUCCGCACGAGCUCAGCCACAUAAAGAGAUGUUUUUUUAGGUCUAGGGAGGGUGUGAGAGAACAUCCGCACGAGCUCAGCCACAUAAAGAGAUGUUUUUUUAGGUCUAGGGAGGGUGUGAGAGAACAUCCGCACGAGCUCAGCCACAUAAAGAGAUGUUUUUUUAGGUCUAGGGAGGGUGUGAGAGAACAUCCGCACGAGCUCAGCCACAUAAAGAGAUGUUUUUUUUAGGUCUAGGGAGGGUGUGAGAGAACAUCCGCACGAGCUCAGCCACAUAAAGAGAUGUUUUUUUAGGUCUAGGGAGGGUGUGAGAGAACAUCCGCACGAGCUCAGCCACAUAAAGAGAUGUUUUUUUUAGGUCUAGGGAGGGUGUGAGAGAACAUCCGCACGAGCUCGGCCACAUAAAGAGAUGCGCGUGCAAAUAUUGAAGCGGGAACAUUUUCACGCUGGGAGAAAUUUUACUUGACAUGCCGCAUCAUUGGUGUUAUUUAGGCCUGGGUACAGUAUGUUACAUUCAACUACACACUUUAUAAGUGUCACCACACAGUCUGACUUUAAUUGGUCACUAUUCAUUCUCUGAUGACUCCGCUGUUUGAAGUUAUCUCCAUAUGAUUUGGGCAUGACAUUUGAAAAAUGCUAAGACAGACUGGCUGGCUGACUGACUAGUAUUCUCCAAUGGAAUCGUUGAUAACCUCUUCCUGCCAACAGUGGAAGUGGACAGAAUAUUGUUGUUCAAAUUUAGUAGGCAGGUUCAGGGCAGGUCAAUGGGACAAGUCAUUAUUAGGGGCUAUAGUAGGAAGAGACUGUGUGUAUCUGAAAUGGCACCCUAUGCCCUAUAUAGUGCACUACUUUUGACCAGAGCCCUAUGGGCCCCACUACAUAGUGAAUAGGGUGACAUUUCAGACGCAUCCCCUGUUUUUCGUUUGUCACCACAGAGAUAAAACAACAACCGGUUGUAUGGAACAGGUAGAGGUCCCGUUGACAGUUCCCUGGACAUUUGCUUCUUAGAUGGAACUACAGCUUGAGUCAACUUGAGACGACAGAGAUUGGGCCAAUUCGCAUUCCUCUUGCUUGAGGAUAGAUUGGCUGUUGUGCAAUUGUAAAAUGUAAAUGUUCAAGGUGGCAAAAUUGAUCAAACCGUCACCACAAAGAACCAUUUGCUUUGUCUAUUGCAGUCAUGUUUAGGAGUAUAAUACUAUAAUAACAUCCUUUACUUACAACAUGGCCGCCUAGCUUAGGGGACCUGUAUUUACUCAACAAUGUUAUGUCAUUGUCUUGCCAACUUUCUCAUACAAGGCAACAAGUUGACUGUGGUAGAAACAAAUUGUUUAGCCAUGCUAUGACCUUCUCACCUUACUGAAGGAGAAAUCAAAGGGAAAGGGAUAAACUCAACACUUGAAAGUCACCCGACUCUACUACUGUCUACCUGGAUGUGGUUCAACCAAAGUAUAUAUAGGCUUAGGGUGUGUUUUGUUUUGUCACCUAUUUCUGUCACUGUCCUCGGGUAACAAUAAUUAGUCGCGUUCACAGUACACUCCUCCACAUAGUAUUGUUAGGGAGCACAUUCUGACAGCAUUUCUGCGUUUUCCCUCCCUCACCCCUUUACAAGUAUGUGUGUCACUCAACCGGCCUGACUGCAUUUCUCUUUGACAUGCAUUUCUCACACACAACCCAUACACAGCACAUAAUACAGAACGUUACACUUUUACGUUUCAAUAUAUUGGACCUUGUAUUUUAGCCGACAAUGUAUUUGACCCUUUGCUUGAACCGUAACUGCACAUUUCUUCACAAAUUGUAUCGUGUCAACCUACGUGGCAUGCUCCCUGUGUAAGGCUGAAUGUCAUGUAUUGUGUAAUGGUAUUAUGUCCUCGGCAUCCAAAGCUCAUAAGAAGCAGUAGUAUAAUCACGUUUGAUAUUAACUCCUCAUAAGAAGCAGUAGUAUAAUCACGUUUGAUAUUAACUCCUCAUAAGAAGCAGUAGUAUAAUCACAUUUGAUGUUAACUCCUCAUAAGAAGCAGUAGUAUAAUCACAUUUGAUGUUAACUCCUCAUAAGAAGCAGUAGUAUUGUCCUGUUUGAUAUUAACUCCUCAUAAGAAGCAGUAGUAUACUGACGUUUGAUAUUAGCUCCUCAUAAGAAGCAGUAGUAUAAUCACGUUUGAUAUUAACUCCUCAUAAGAAGCAGUAGUAUAAUCACGUUUGAUAUUAACUCCUCAUAAGAAGCAGUAGUAUAAUCACGUUU